rnacentral:rRNA from 1 species
CCUACGGGAGGCUGCAGUGAGGAAUAUUGGUCAAUGGGCGCGAGCCUGAACCAGCCAAGUCGCGUGAGGGAAGACGGUCCUCUGGAUUGUAAACCUCUUUUGUCGGGGAGCAAAAGACGCCACGCGUGGCGUUCCGCGCGUCCCCGAAGAAAAAGCAUCGGCUAACUCCGUGCCAGCAGCCGCGGUAAUACGGAGGAUGCGAGCGUUAUCCGAAUUUAUUGGGUUUAAAGGGUGCGCAGGCGGGAGAUCAAGUCAGCGGUAAAAUGUCGGGGCUCAACCCCGGCCGGCCGUUGAAACUGGUUGUCUAGAGUGGGAGAGAAGUAGGCGGAAUUCGUGGUGUAGCGGUGAAAUGCAUAGAUAUCACGAAGAACUCCGAUUGCGAAGGCAGCAUACCGGAUCCAGACUGACGCUGAGGCACGAAAGCGUGGGGAUCGAACAGGAUUAGAUACCCUUGUAGUC